GGUUGUGAUCGUCGCCAUUCGGACAUCUUGGGCUUCUCAUUCCACCGGGCGGAGACGACCUGCAAAUUCCCGCACACUCCAUCUCUCACACUUAACACGAGAAUCCCUAUAGCAACCAUCGUCGUGCGAUAGGAGCUUGUCCUUUCUGGAAAAGCAGCAUCAACAUUAAUCUUGAUCGUCUCCCACGGUGGAGGUUUCCAAACCGCUUCCUCGAGCUGAAAUGUCUCCUCCCCAUGUAAUAUCCGGUUACGACGAUCCUAUAUCCGCCAGCACACUACCACUGCCACCAAGAGCGAUGCGAUGAAAGUCGAAAUCCUAGUCAUGUACAAGAAGUGCAUGCACAACCACAAAGCACCCGACAUAACAAACAACCAGACAAUAGAUUGAUUUACAAACUAAUAUAUCAAGGUCACAAGCAAUGCACAAAUCCUGCACUAAUGAACUUGGCACAAAAUUAACACAUUCAUCGACAAUAAACCGACCAAAUGCCAUUUAUGAUUAUAAUGAAACUCGCUCAAAAGGGGGUCUAAUUAAUUUCUAGAGCUCGCUCAAAUGUUUCAUCAUAAAGAAAUCUAAAAGCACGAUCAAAUUGCACGUUCCAAUUGCACAAACUGUGCACUAAUAAUCAACUUGACACAAAAAAUAAAUUGAAAAUAGCAAAUAUUGUCCUGAAAAGCUGUCUUUGCACCAAUCAACUAGGUUUUUUUUUUUUUUUUUUUUAAAUUACAGGAAUUAGAUUACGCGUAAAAUCAACUGCGCUCUCAACACUCACCAUUUCACUGUCUACAUAAACUCCCCACUCCGUCGUUUCAUUCCAACGCACCAUCUAAAAAAACACAUUCUGCAGUCAAAAAAGAAAAGAAAAACUUUCUGCAUUCUUGAAAAGAAAUGGGGACUGACAAUGCAUUGAAAGUGAAAGUGCUAGUCAUGUACAAAGAGUGUAUACUCAACCAUGCAGCCUCCAACAGAGGAUCCCG
rnacentral:lncRNA from 1 species